rnacentral:rRNA from 1 species
UAGCUGGGUAGCUAUGUGCGGAAGGGAUAAGUGCUGAAAGCAUCUAAGCAUGAAGCCCCCCUCAAGAUGAGAUUUCCCAUAGCGUAAGCUAGUAAGAUCCCUGAAAGAUGAUCAGGUUGAUAGGUUCGAGGUGGAAGCAUGGUGACAUGUGGAGCUGACGAAUACUAAUAGAUCGAGGACUUAACCAUAUAA